AUCUCUGUUGCGUAACGGAUAGCGCGUUGGACAUCUUUUCCAAAGAUCGUGGGUUGGAAUCCCACCUAGGAUG
rnacentral:tRNA from 1 species